GGGUUGUGAGGUUAAGCGACUAAGCGUACACGGUGGAUGCCCUGGCAGUCAGAGGCGAUGAAGGACGUGCUAAUCUGCGAUAAGCGUCGGUAAGGUGAUAUGAACCGUUAUAACCGGCGAUUUCCGAAUGGGGAAACCCAGUGUGAUUCGUCACACUAUCAUUAACUGAAUCCAUAGGUUAAUGAGGCGAACCGGGGGAACUGAAACAUCUAAGUACCCCGAGGAAAAGAAAUCAACCGAGAUUCCCCCAGUAGCGGCGAGCGAACGGGGAGCAGCCCAGAGCCUGAAUCAGUGUGUGUGUUAGUGGAAGCGUCUGGAAAGGCGCGCGAUACAGGGUGACAGCCCCGUACACAAAAAUGCACAUACUGUGAGCUCGAUGAGUAGGGCGGGACACGUGGUAUCCUGUCUGAAUAUGGGGGGACCAUCCUCCAAGGCUAAAUACUCCUGACUGACCGAUAGUGAACCAGUACCGUGAGGGAAAGGCGAAAAGAACCCCGGCGAGGGGAGUGAAAAAGAACCUGAAACCGUGUACGUACAAGCAGUGGGAGCACGCUUAGGCGUGUGACUGCGUACCUUUUGUAUAAUGGGUCAGCGACUUAUAUUCUGUAGCAAGGUUAACCGAAUAGGGGAGCCGAAGGGAAACCGAGUCUUAACUGGGCGUUAAGUUGCAGGGUAUAGACCCGAAACCCGGUGAUCUAGCCAUGGGCAGGUUGAAGGUUGGGUAACACUAACUGGAGGACCGAACCGACUAAUGUUGAAAAAUUAGCGGAUGACUUGUGGCUGGGGGUGAAAGGCCAAUCAAACCGGGAGAUAGCUGGUUCUCCCCGAAAGCUAUUUAGGUAGCGCCUCGUGAAUUCAUCUCCGGGGGUAGAGCACUGUUUCGGCAAGGGGGUCAUCCCGACUUACCAACCCGAUGCAAACUGCGAAUACCGGAGAAUGUUAUCACGGGAGACACACGGCGGGUGCUAACGUCCGUCGUGAAGAGGGAAACAACCCAGACCGCCAGCUAAGGUCCCAAAGUCAUGGUUAAGUGGGAAACGAUGUGGGAAGGCCCAGACAGCCAGGAUGUUGGCUUAGAAGCAGCCAUCAUUUAAAGAAAGCGUAAUAGCUCACUGGUCGAGUCGGCCUGCGCGGAAGAUGUAACGGGGCUAAACCAUGCACCGAAGCUGCGGCAGCGACGCUGAUGCGUUGUUGGGUAGGGGAGCGUUCUGUAAGCCUGCGAAGGUGUGCUGUGAGGCAUGCUGGAGGUAUCAGAAGUGCGAAUGCUGACAUAAGUAACGAUAAAGCGGGUGAAAAGCCCGCUCGCCGGAAGACCAAGGGUUCCUGUCCAACGUUAAUCGGGGCAGGGUGAGUCGACCCCUAAGGCGAGGCCGAAAGGCGUAGUCGAUGGGAAACAGGUUAAUAUUCCUGUACUUGGUGUUACUGCGAAGGGGGGACGGAGAAGGCUAUGUUGGCCGGGCGACGGUUGUCCCGGUUUAAGCGUGUAGGCUGGUUUUCCAGGCAAAUCCGGAAAAUCAAGGCUGAGGCGUGAUGACGAGGCACUACGGUGCUGAAGCAACAAAUGCCCUGCUUCCAGGAAAAGCCUCUAAGCAUCAGGUAACAUCAAAUCGUACCCCAAACCGACACAGGUGGUCAGGUAGAGAAUACCAAGGCGCUUGAGAGAACUCGGGUGAAGGAACUAGGCAAAAUGGUGCCGUAACUUCGGGAGAAGGCACGCUGAUAUGUAGGUGAAGUCCCUCGCGGAUGGAGCUGAAAUCAGUCGAAGAUACCAGCUGGCUGCAACUGUUUAUUAAAAACACAGCACUGUGCAAACACGAAAGUGGACGUAUACGGUGUGACGCCUGCCCGGUGCCGGAAGGUUAAUUGAUGGGGUCAGCGCAAGCGAAGCUCUUGAUCGAAGCCCCGGUAAACGGCGGCCGUAACUAUAACGGUCCUAAGGUAGCGAAAUUCCUUGUCGGGUAAGUUCCGACCUGCACGAAUGGCGUAAUGAUGGCCAGGCUGUCUCCACCCGAGACUCAGUGAAAUUGAACUCGCUGUGAAGAUGCAGUGUACCCGCGGCAAGACGGAAAGACCCCGUGAACCUUUACUAUAGCUUGACACUGAACAUUGAGCCUUGAUGUGUAGGAUAGGUGGGAGGCUUUGAAGUGUGGACGCCAGUCUGCAUGGAGCCGACCUUGAAAUACCACCCUUUAAUGUUUGAUGUUCUAACGUUGACCCGUAAUCCGGGUUGCGGACAGUGUCUGGUGGGUAGUUUGACUGGGGCGGUCUCCUCCUAAAGAGUAACGGAGGAGCACGAAGGUUGGCUAAUCCUGGUCGGACAUCAGGAGGUUAGUGCAAUGGCAUAAGCCAGCUUGACUGCGAGCGUGACGGCGCGAGCAGGUGCGAAAGCAGGUCAUAGUGAUCCGGUGGUUCUGAAUGGAAGGGCCAUCGCUCAACGGAUAAAAGGUACUCCGGGGAUAACAGGCUGAUACCGCCCAAGAGUUCAUAUCGACGGCGGUGUUUGGCACCUCGAUGUCGGCUCAUCACAUCCUGGGGCUGAAGUAGGUCCCAAGGGUAUGGCUGUUCGCCAUUUAAAGUGGUACGCGAGCUGGGUUUAGAACGUCGUGAGACAGUUCGGUCCCUAUCUGCCGUGGGCGCUGGAGAACUGAGGGGGGCUGCUCCUAGUACGAGAGGACCGGAGUGGACGCAUCACUGGUGUUCGGGUUGUCAUGCCAAUGGCACUGCCCGGUAGCUAAAUGCGGAAGAGAUAAGUGCUGAAAGCAUCUAAGCACGAAACUUGCCCCGAGAUGAGUUCUCCCUGACCCUUUAAGGGUCCUGAAGGAACGUUGAAGACGACGACGUUGAUAGGCCGAGUGUGUAAGCGCAGCGAUGCGUUGAGCUAACCGGUACUAAUGAACCGUGAGGCUUAACCUUACAACGCCGAAGGUGUUU
rnacentral:rRNA from 1 species